CCUACGGGUGGCAGCAGUGAGGAAUAUUGGUCAAUGGGCGCGAGCCUGAACCAGCCAAGUAGCGUGAAGGAUGACUGCCCUACGGGUUGUAAACUUCUUUUAUAGAGGAAUAAAGUGAGGCACGUGACCCUUCUUCUAUGUACUUUAUGUAUAAGGAUCGGCUAACUCCGUGCCAGCAGCCGCGGUAAUACGGAGGAUCCGAGCGUUAUCCGGAUUUAUUGGGUUUAAAGGGAGCGUAGAUGGGUGGUUAAGUCAGUUGUGAAAGUUUGAGGCUCAACCGUAAAAUUGCAAUUGAUACUGGCAGCCUUGAGUACAGUUGAGGUAGGCGGAAUUCGUGGUGUAGCGGUGAAAUGCUUAGAUAUCACGAAGAACUCCGAUUGCGAAGGCAGCUUACUAAUCUGCCACUGACAUUGAUGCUCGAAAGUGUGGGUAUCAAACAGGAUUAGAUACCCGUGUAGUC
rnacentral:rRNA from 1 species